GUAGCCGGCCCGAUAAGUCUCUUGGUAAAUCUGGCAGCUUAACUGUCAGGCUUUCAGGAGAUACUGUCUGGCUCUAGGCCGGGAGAGGUGAGAGGUACUUCAGGGGUAGGGGUGAGAUCUUGUAAUCCUUGAAGGACCACCAGUGGCGAAGGCGUCUCACCAGAACGAACAUGACGGCAAGGGACGAAAGCUAGGGGCACGAACCGGAUUAGAUACCCGGGUAGUCCUAGCCGUAAACGAUACUCGCUAGGUGUCGGCAACGGUGCGACCGUUGUCGGUGCCGUA
rnacentral:rRNA from 1 species